UACAGGGGGUGCAAACGUUGCUCGGAAUCAUUGGGCGUAAAGCGCACGUAGGCGGUUCGUUAUGUCGGAUGUGAAAGCCCUUGGCUUAACCGAGGAAGUGCAUCCGAAACUGGCGAGCUAGAGUACGAAAGAGGAUCGCGGAAUUCCCGGUGUAGAGGUGAAAUUCGUAGAUAUCGGGAGGAACACCGGUGGCGAAGGCGGCGAUCUGGGCCGUUACUGACGCUGAGGAGCGAAAGCGUGGGGAGCGAACAGG
rnacentral:rRNA from 1 species